rfam:Spinacia oleracea cultivar SynViroflay scaffold31723.con0006.1, whole genome shotgun sequence.
GUCUGUUCGGAGACAUCUGAUAAAAUUGAAACGAUACAGAGAAGAUUAUUAUGAGCCCUACACAAGAACGACAUAUACUUUGUAUAGUCCAAUCUAAUCAAU